rnacentral:misc_RNA from 1 species
AAGUCGUAACAAGGUUUCCGUAGGUGAACCUGCGGAAGGAUCAUUACAGUAUUCUUUUGCCAGCGCUUAACUGCGCGGCGAAAAACCUUACACACAGUGUCUUUUUGAUACAGAACUCUUGCUUUGGUUUGGCCUAGAGAUAGGUUGGGCCAGAGGUUUAACUAAACACAAUUUAAUUAUUUUUAUUGAUAGUCAAAUUUUGAAUUAAUCUUCAAAACUUUCAACAACGGAUCUCUUGGUUCUC